rnacentral:lncRNA from 1 species
UUUUUUUUUUUUUUUUUUUUUUUUGUAUUUUGUCUUUUUAGGGCUGCUUCCAAGGCAUAUAUGGAGGUUCCCAGGCCAGGGGUCCAAUUGGAGAUGUAGCUCCUGGCCUACACCACAGACAGUAACGUGGGAUCCAAGCCACGCCUGCGCACUACACCACAGCUCACAGCAACACGGGAUCCUUAACCCACUGAGCAAGGCCAGGGAUCGAACCUGCAUCUUCAUGGAUGCUAAUCAGAUUCGUUUCCACUGAGCCAUGAUAGCAACUCCGAUAACCAUCCUUUUUUAACCUAUUAAUUUACUUCCUUUACUUCGAUGUUUGUAGAAAUAACAUAAAUUGAAGGAGAAACACAUCAUAUCACUAAAAUAAAUCAAAUGAAUUAGAAGUCAGAAGUAGUGAAACAACCUUAACCAUUUAUAACUAUCAAUAAGACGAAUUUCUCCGAAACGCAUGGCUUAGUUCUGAAUUUCUCAAGUUCAUGUUCUGGUUUUUGGAAAAGGUUCUGUUUAAGUUCAUUUAUUUCAAAAAAACGAAAAAUAGGAGUUCCCGUCGUGGCACAGUGGUUAACAAAUCCAACAAGGAACCAUGAGGUUGCGGGUUCGAUCCCUGGCCUCACUCAGUGGGUUAACAAACCAGCGUUCCCGUGAGCUGUGGUGCAGGUUGCAGACGCGACUCGGAUCCUGCGUUGCUGCGGCUCUGGUGUAAGCCGGCGACUACAGCGACUACAGCUCCGAUUCGACCCCUAGCCUGGGAACCUCCAUAUGCCGCGAAGAGUGGCCCAAGAAAAUGGCAAAAAGACAAAAGAAAAAAAAAAAAAAGAAGAAGAAGAAAAGAAAAAGAAUCCCUUUAGUUCACUUUGAGAAUCUUCUCAAUGCAGAAAUAAAUAAAAUCAUGAGAGUCAAAUCAAUUUAGCGCUUUUACAGUUAUACUGAAAAUGAGGGACUUAAAGCAAAAUAUCCAAACUAGUUCAACAUUUAAAGAUCAGAACCCAACCUAAGCCUCCUUCCAACACUCUCAAGUCUGGCGGUGGGGACGUGAACAGAUUUGAGCCUGAUUUAAGAACAGAGACUGUCCAAACUCUUACAAAACGCGGUAACUACUAAGUGUAACAGCAGGUUAAGGAAAGGGCUAUAAGUUAUCAGCAAUAACACAAGCUAAGAUAGUUCUAAUUUUAAAAAUAGGGCUGGAGUUCCUGUCGUGGCUCAGCAGUAACAAACUCAUCUAAUAUCCAUGAGGACGCAGGUUCCAUCCCCAGCCUCACUCAGUGGGGUUAAGGAUCAGGCAUUGCCAUGAGCUGUGGUGUAGGUCGCAGACAUGAUUCGGAUCCAACUCAGAUCCCACACUGUUGCGGCUGUGGUGUAGGCCGGCAGUUGCAGCUCUGAUCCGACCCCUAGCCUGAGAACAUCCAUAUGCAAUGGGUAUGGCCCUAAAAAUAGGAAAAAAUGAAAUGAAACAAAAUGAAAUAAAAAAAAAAAAAUAGGUGCUCCCUUGAUCUUUUACUUUUGGGGUGGGGGGGGCACAGAUUUGAGGAAGUUCCCAGGCAAGGGAUGGAGCCACCAGGGCCAGGACAACGCUGGAUACUUAACCUGCUGAGCCCCGCACACCUUAUAGUUACUCUUAAAGUACUUAAAAAUGAAGACGCAAAUGAGCCAACAAAAUAUGUCCACUUAUGGCUAUAAAAUUAGAAGAACAAAAUGAUUAAGUAGAAAAAAUUUUAACAAAGGAUAAAACAACGUUUUGUAAAGAGCAUUUUCACAAACUGAAAGGCUUAAAGCAAAUAUCCCAACAGAAAAAAGGAUACUUCACAUAAAAAGGAAAAAUAAUGGCCAGGAAAUUUAUGAACAGUGCUCCACCUCGACAAUGAACAAGGAAACGGCAACUCUGAAACCAAUGACUUCUCAACUGUCAGAAAGAAAAAAGUCCAACACCCCACAUCCAGGGUUAGGUAAAGGGUUACAUGACAGUGGGGUAUAAACUGGAACAGCCUUUUAAGAAAAGAACUUAGCAGUGUCUAUCAAAACCCUCUGUGCAGACAGCCCUCCGAUGCAAAUUCUGCCUUUAGAACUCUGUUUUGCAGAAAAAUCCACACGCUCUCCAGAAAGCCACGUCUGCCUGAUGCCCGCGGGAACACGACUGAGACGCCGUGCGGGGAUGACGCACUAAGACGACUCGCGGCAACAACCUCCCUUUUUGAGGCUAAAACUCAGACAGACACACUGAUUUCUGAGGAUACGGAAUAAAAUUGGGAAAGACUAUUUUCUGAAAGUUCUUAAGAGAGAGGCUAGCUCUGGACAGCUGGAUCAGGGAAGGGGAGCUUCAAAUUUAUAAGUAAAACAUAAACUAAGUUUUAAUCCACACAAAUCGUAGUAAAACACAGGUUUCUCAGGUGUCUUUAGCUUCCCUGUGAGUAAAAAUAAGUCAGUUACUACUCACCUAGAAAAGCUCACUUAAGUCUUCAGCAGCCGCUGUUCCGUGCAGGUUCAAUUAGUCAGAUACUGAAAUGCUAAGACCAAGGUCACCACAAAGGGCUCCAAUGCGACCUCACAGCUCCAGGCGAGGAGCGGCAUUCUCCUGCGGCGAGCCUGGGCUUCCUGGGACGCGUGCAGGUCGUGAACACCUGCACCGAGCUAGGCGUUUACCCAUCCCCGGUCCCUCGGCCAGAGCACGCCGGCUCCUGCCUCUGCUUCCCAGCCACCCCGUCCUCCCAGCGGCAGGGAGCAGAGCCCAGGAACCGCUCGCGCAGCACACUGGCGGUCUGGAGCCCCUCAGGGGCAGGGUUUGGGAGCAAUUACCCGACAUCUGAGCACAGAAGGGACUGGAAGCAAAGCGGCAGCCGGAGACAAGGCGUAAGGCCAAGGCGGCUGCUGGUGGCCUCGUCCUACUGGAUCCCAGAAUUCGGUUCAUUUUCCUUUUCUCUCCUGCACAUUCGCUAUUCCAGCCCUAAAUCCCUCCCCUCCAAAACUGGCCACCAAGGCCAAACGUCUUUUUUGCUUUAUUUUCCAGGCGUGUGUUUAUAGACCACAGGAGAGGACUAAACGGCCGCGUGUGUGAAAACAGUAACAGGAACAGCUGACGAGAAGCAAGGUGAGGACUAAAAACCCGCAAGAACCAGCACUUCCCGGGGAAGGCUCACCAAAUGACUGGCAGCCUAAGAGGGCACAGGCCAACCAGCCCCCAGGUGACCUGGUCAAGAAAACACACAGUCCAGACUCAAUGAUGACAGCGGUAGCACAACCUAUGAAACCAAACCCCAUGUGAACUGCUCGUGCUGAAGGAGAAGAGGAAAGAAGACAGCACAGCAGAUCCCCGGUUCUCCGUGAGCCCCUCCUACAGAGCGAGAGCACCCCGCGACUUAGCAGCUCCAGGAAGACCGCCAGGGUCUAAAAGAGCACGUGCAGCUUGCCGUCAGCGACGCCUAAACAAACACACCAGGUCGGCUGCAGUCAACAGCCAUCUGCCUCCCCGACCUCGGGACGGCAGGUCUCUCCAAGUGAAACAAAAAACAGGAGAGGAGAGAGUCCACCAUUAAAAUACUUGCAAUGCCAGGCGUCAAGCAAGGGAGAGAGGAAAGGACAGAGACGCACUCGGACACUGCGGAGAAAACGUGGGAGGCGAGCAAGUCUCCCGCAGGGACGCCACGGCCCCGGCAGUCCCCGCCGCCUGGAGAAGAGCACGCCAGCGGGGCAGGACGGGGAGCAGGCCGUGGGCUGAGGUGAGCAGAAGGUGGCAGGCCAGGGACUGGAAGGUCAGCAGGCCAGGGACAGGAAAGCCUCCCCGGCCUGGACGCCCCUCUCCUCCCGCGGGCCUGGCCUGCUCCCCGUCCCCAGCCCCGGGCAGGACUGGCCGGUGGCCUCGAGCUCUCCACCCUGGUCCUGGUCCGCCCUGGCCGCCUCCCCCUUCCUGCUGCAGUCAACCUCCCCUGACCUCCCCUCCUCUCCACUGUCUGUGCAGGAAACUUCUACCCGGAACUUCGCAAGCACCUAAAUUCAAGACACCUCAAAGACAGCUUUUUAUUUCCCAGCUCAAAGCUAAUCUACCACUGGCAUUUUUUAAAAAUUCUAGUGGCCGCUCCCACCGCCUACCCAGCAGCCAGUACAAACCGGGGUUACCCUCCGACCAUCUCCUCCGCCCUCUCCAAGUCCAGACAAGACCUCGGGUCGCCUCCCCUCCUCCACAUGAACCACCUUAGCUGGUCUGGGCCUCACGGUGACAACAGCCACAAAACCUGCAAGUCUCCUGCCUCCCCGCCGGCUCUGCCCGCCGCCAGGGAGGACACGUGCAGCCGCAGAGCUCCCCGGGUGCUGUCACUGCGACACUGCGACAGUCUUGCGACAGUCUUACGACGAGGGCCCGACGAGGCCCUUAAGACACCGGCCAGGUUAGCCCUCCGGUUCCACAGCCCGCAACCGGCUGCUUGGCCCUGGAGACCCGCUGCACGCACAGACACACAGACACACGGAGUCUCCAGCACGAGGCGCCCUCGAAGCUGCGGGAACAAAUGCCCGCACACACCUGGUGCCAACAACGUCUCUCCAGCGCUGGGGCUGGGGGACUCGGGCCCCAAGAGGGAAGAACCACCCCAGUGGCACCGCCUAAGCCCGGGAGGGGCGAGAGCAGGCCCAAAGGCGCAGGUCUGGGACCCAGAGCCGCGGACCCGCGCGCCCACGUCACCACCCAAAGCCAGCCACGCCGUCCAGCCUGCUGCCCCGAGGCCAGGCCCGGCCACGCUCAAGGGACAGCAGAGAGCGGGCAGACGCGGCGCAGAGCCCACCAACCGAGCGCGUGGAGCUAGGCUUGCCCUCUCCUCCGCACACUCCCCCCUUCCUCCAAGGAGCCCAGCCCGACUGGGCCGAGCGGCCCCAGGAGAGGGGCACCGCCGCCCGCCCGGCGGCCCUGAACACGCCACACCUGCUGGUCUGCGCGCCUGGUCUCUGACCAGACGGCCGCUGCCGACGGCUGGGCCUCCUGCUCGCCGCUGCACGACAGCGGUCAGACGAACACGUGUUUGCCAAACCAAACUGCUUUUUACCAGGCACGGCCUCCCUUCCUCCCCGUGAAACUCCUCGCCACCUCAACCGUCUACAAAGACGUCCCGCCCUCGCCACCCGCGGGGCAGGAACAGGCUGCCUCUGUCCCACCCUGUCCCCCCUCGAGGCCGGAGCUCCUGGAGAAAGACCCCCGUGUCCACGAAGCUUUGCGUGCUCAGCACGUGGACAGUGGCCGGCACGGAGCAGGUGACCAAUGAGUCACCUCAGACACGGAGACAGAGGGGACACAUGUACUGAGCGGGAGGGCCAGGGUCCAACCUCGGACCCCAGGGCAGCCUCUGCGCGGCUGCCACUUCCAUCCUCUCCGCGGGCACAAAGGGUCUUAUGCACGUCUUGCUCGCCUUCCCUCCAGGAGACAGCAGCCCGUUUGAGCCUCUCACUUGUGCAGGCCCAGUCCCUAUGAACAAAGCCCAAAACAUAGCAGGCACUCAAUAAAUAUUAGUCUGAAUGAAUGACUACUGCAUUAGCCUAUGACCAACCCAAGAGAAAUGUUCAAAUGCCACAGUUUAACAGGCUAAGCCACUAACAGAGAAACAAAACAAAUAAGCAACAGAAGCAAUUUCUCUCAACACUCAGGCCCAGAAGUGAUAACCACUUCCACAGGUUUUGCUCAGAAGAUGACAGACGCAAAGAAUCACUGUCGCGGUACCGAAUGUAAAAUCGGUAACGUUUCUCAAGAAUCGAGCUGCGGACAUCAAUCAUGCAUUUGUAAGCACACACUAAAGACAAAAGGUCUAAAGACGCCACUGCACGAGUAAAAUGGAAACACUCCUAAAGCACUGGAAACUCGUUUAGAAGCUGUGCAAACCACAAGCAGGCAGUAGUUGGUGGCGUAAGUGCCGCUUGGCCAAAAAAAAUAACUUUAUUUAAAGUUAAAUUAUAUUUCGUGCUAGAAUACGAGCCACAAGAACCUACAGGCAAAUGCGACAUCAAAUGCUACAAAUAAGGACAAUGCGAUGGGUGACAACGGGACAGGCCUCUCAUCAUCCUGUGACACUAGUUUAGUGCUACACCGAGUACACUUCGUCUGCUGUCAUCACAAAGUCAGGUACGCUGACAUGUGGUUCCCAUGACCGCAUACUCAGUCCGUGAUGCUAAAGGAAAGCACGCUUAGCCUUCCACUGAGCAACGUCCUCCAGGCUUUACUGUUUCUUUCCAGAGAGAAAACACAGGCUUGGGAGCAGACAAGCCUGUAUGAUCUCAGAAGGCCCACUACACUGCUCCCUUUUCAAAACGGCAGUUUCGUCUGAAAUUCUCCCUUCCAGUUUGGGAAUGGCAAAUAUUUACUCAAUAGAUGUUAGAAUUACUAGUAACAACCAAGGAAUUGGUUCUAGAAGACUGGUGAAACUCCAAUGUCAGCUGGGGGGAAAAAUUGCUAGUUAAUUUGUAAAUAGCCACUUUGCAAAAUUAAAUCAACUGAGCACUGGCAGUGAGGAGACCAAAUUUAAGCAGAGACCAGGAACGGGCCCGGCCCCCAGCCCCAGCCCCAUCC